UCCGACCAAUGAAGGCGCAGGCGCAUCUACGUCACAAGGAUCAAAGCCGGAGCUCACUCCGGCUUCCAGAAGUGAAAAACGAGGGGAGGAGCUGGCAGGGAGUACGGAAAACCACCUCCCUACCAGAAGAUCACGUCUUCUGGGAUCUGGAACUUCAGUCUGGGGAUAGCAAUGUGCAGGAGACCUCAUGACCAUCCACCUGAGAGGUGGCUCCAUUGGGGAAGGGGCAGCUGUAUCCAACAAGCCCCGAAGAUAGGCAUCCCUCCGAAGUGACCACUUCCGUCUUGACCAUCUCCCUCCCUUUAUAUCCCCAGCUUCACAGCCUCAAUAACACUGCUUCCAGCCCAUUGACCCCAGUCAAAAUAAUGUUCUCACCAAAGUCUGGUUCAAUGUAAUUUUAUCAGGGAAUAUAGCAUUAAAAAAACAUAGGGAUCUGUCCUUCGGAUUUGGCUCUUAAUUGAGCCUUCCACCUAUAGUGUCUCCUUCCCAUUAAAAUGUGAGAUUAAAGAGCAAGGAUGGCCUUUUCUCUUUGCACCUUCAGCUUUUGGGACUUUACACAGAAUAAGUGCUAAAUAAGUGCUUUAUUCAUAUUCAUCCAUUCCUGCUCACCAAAUUCCCCAACUGCUGUGAGACACAGAGAAGGGAGGCUUUUCCCCGGGCAUCCAGAGAUCAGAGCUCUUUGUCUACCCAGGGAAGAAAGCUGCCAAUAUUUCGAAAGUUACAUAGCUGAAGCCAAGUCACUUCAGCCCUUAGUUCAGAGCAUUCCUUCAGCAAGCAUGAAACAUUUAGUAAGCAAGUGUUAUGUACUAAGGCCAGGGGACCACCCAAGUGAAAGUUCCUAGACUCAUACAGAUCUGAAGGAAACUAAUGAUGAGGAAGAGAAUACAUUCCAAACACAGGGAGGAGCCAGUACAAAGGGCCAGGAUCCUUUGAACAAUCCAUAAACAAAUCCCACCAACCACUGGCUCAAGAUGAGAAAGAUUCCUAGAAACACUACCUUUAAAGGUUCUUCAUCAAAAGAAAAAAAACUAAAAUAAUAGAUUUGAGUAGUUUGGGAUUCCUCACUCUGGAAGGUAAUAAAAAUGAUAACGUCAAAAGUCUAAAAAACCAUUAACAGGAAGACCACAAAGUGGUUUGCCAAACAGAAGACCAAGAUUUAAAAUAUAUAUCACUCAGGCAAAUAAAGAUAAGUACCAAUUUAUAUGUGAUCUGACCCUAGUAGAAGAUAGAGAAUAAAAAUAAGUAGAUGCAAGAAGCAUUUAAAUAAAAUCUGUAUAAUACCUAAAGAUUUAAUUUUAAAAUGGAGGGUAGCUAAAUGUCUCAGUAGAUCAAGCAUUGGGCCUGGAAUCAGGAAGACAUGAAUUCAAAUCUGAUUUCAGACACCAGUUAUAUGACCUUGGGCAAGUCACUUAACUUCUUUAUACUUUAAUGCACUGAAGAAAUGGCAAGCCACUAAUAUAUUUGCAGAGAAAAACCCAAACAGUAUGGUCCAUGAGAUCAUGAAGAGGUUGGACACAAAUGUACAAGGUAUGUAUGUUGAGGUCUAGAUUUGGGGUACCUAAAUGAAAUUAGGGUUUUGGCACAUGGAUAUGGCGGUAAAUGCGGUCUAGUAGCGGUGGGAGUUCCCAAUAAAAGCAUUUAUUGGCCCGGAGAGCUAGAUUGAUAAAAGAGGUUCAUUAUUGGAUAAGCAAAGUUAAAGUAUAGGCGAAGGUAGAGAUAAGGAGGGCACUGGACAGAGGGUCCAGUGGACAGAGGGUCCUCACAUGGUAGCCAUGUUUGGAAUCUCUGCAAAGAGGGGUUCCCAGUGUAGCCUUUUUAUAAUAGGAGACUUAGCUCAAGGGGCUUUUAGGUGUAGCCCCCAGUUGGCUCAGAUCCGGGUGGGGCUGAGACAGGUCCGGAUCUUCUAUUGGAAUUCAAAGGCACCAGGAUUUGUGAGUUAAAGGGCAAUUUACAUUAUUAACUAGGAAAGGAUGGGAAUCUAGAAAGGAAUCUUUCCCACAUCAUUCCCCCCUCAAGCAGUUGGAACUUAAAUUCAUUUAAGGAAAAAGACAUGGGGCAAAGUCUCUUAUUGAGACAGAAUUGAAGAUUUUCUCCUUCCAGGAUUUUCCAAGUUCGGGGGUCCCCUCUUCAUGUAGACUGAUUUGUAUUCUUCUUUACAUAAAUUAAAAGUUCUCUGUAACUUGUAACUUGUUAUUUGUAUUUCCAGUUUCCCCCUCUAAAGUUGUCAUUAUUCAAACUUCCAUCUUCUCUACUGUCCCCCAUGUCUUAAUUUAAAUAAGUAGAGAGUGUAGUUAAUUAAAGUAAGCAUUCAGUAAGUACUAAAACUGCUGUCAAUAUAGUGAUUGCACAGGUAUAUUCACAAUUGUCUCUUUUCUAGGUUUUAUAUGAUGAUUUUGAAAUGGGCUCUUUUUUAAAGUUUUAAUGAUAAAAACAAUACAAUCUGAAAAUGUUUUACACAAGAGAAUCGAUUCUGUAAAUCAGACUCAAGAAAAAUGUUGUAUUCCUCUAAUUCAACAGUUGCCAAUAUUUUUGUUGUCAUCAACAACAACAAAAAAACCUGUUAACCCCCAGAGUAAUCUAAUAUAUUCAUACUAUUCUUUUAGAAUGAUUAAAGGCUUACAAUAAAAGUGAUCUUUUAUCCAAAAGAGCUCGCCAUUAAAAUUUAUAUUAUGUAAUUAUAAAACAUAAAAUUGUAUCUACCAAUAAUUAUAAAAAAUAUAAAUAUAAAAUUAUAAAAUUCUAAUUACAAAUAUUUUAUGCAGGACAUUCUAUAAGAAUUUUAAAAAAUAAUCCAUGCUUACUAUAAUAUGAAUAUUUAUAUUUAUUUUAUAAAUGUUGUUGACUCUGUAGAUGAAAUAAAUCCUGAUUUGGAAUAUGCUUAGCAUAAUAUAAAAAUUACAAACUUAAUUUUGAUACUUGAAGUUUUUAUUUUUAAUAAAAGGUUUGCAAUAUCUAUAAGUUAGAUCACCAAAAUAGUUUUAAAUCUGUUUGUUUUAAGUUUAUUUUUGUAUUUUGAGUUUAAAAAAAAUUAAAAAGAAAAUGCUCAUUCACAUAAAUGUGUCAGAGAAAAUGGUAGAAUUUACAACUUCUCUUGCUGAAGAUGGAAAUUCAUUUUUUAUUUUUAGCCACUUAACUAAUCAAUGAAAAUAAAUGAAUUAACAAUAUAAAAUAUUUAUUUUUAUACUGGCAAAUAACAAAGUACUGUGUUAAAUGAUAAAUGCACUAAAUGUUUAAUUGUAUAUACUGUCUCAUUUUUUCUUCUUACCCAUUCAACAAAUAAGUUUACUUUAUUAGGGCUGUAUGUCUAUUAUACAUUCACAUAUACACAUAUUAGUGUAUACAUAUGUAUUUUUUGUUACUUUUUUUGUUCCACUUUAAGUUUCAAACUCUCUCAUUCCCUCCCCACUCUGCACAAGAGAAGGCCACCAUUUUACAGAGAUAGAAAUGUGUAAAACCGUACAAUGGGUAAUUAUGUUAUCAGCAUCUUUUUUCAUAGGUCCUUUGUAAUUGGGCACAAAUGUACAACAAGGAAUGUAGGUUGAUUUGUAUUCUUCUUUACAUAAAUUAAAAGUUCUCUGUAACUUGUAA